UGGGGAAUAUUGCACAAUGGGCGCAAGCCUGAUGCAGCCAUGCCGCGUGUGUGAAGAAGGCCUUCGGGUUGUAAAGCACUUUCAGCGGGGAGGAAGGCGGUGAGGUUAAUAACCUCAUCGAUUGACGUUACCCGCAGAAGAAGCACCGGCUAACUCCGUGCCAGCAGCCGCGGUAAUACGGAGGGUGCAAGCGUUAAUCGGAAUUACUGGGCGUAAAGCGCACGCAGGCGGUCUGUCAAGUCGGAUGUGAAAUCCCCGGGCUCAACCUGGGAACUGCAUUCGAAACUGGCAGGCUAGAGUCUUGUAGAGGGGGGUAGAAUUCCAGGUGUAGCGGUGAAAUGCGUAGAGAUCUGGAGGAAUACCGGUGGCGAAGGCGGCCCCCUGGACAAAGACUGACGCUCAGGUGCGAAAGCGUGGGGAGCAAACAG
rnacentral:rRNA from 1 species